rnacentral:lncRNA from 1 species
GAGGGGGUGGGGACACAGCUGCUCCCACCCGGAGCAUGGCCCUCCUUAGCCCAAGCUGGGACCCACAAGCCCAGACCCAGAAGCAGAGAUGUGAGGGAGGAGGAGCCGGAUGUUUCCUCUUUCCAAAAGAUUCCAGAAUUGGCUUGGCUGCGUGGCCCCUUGCCCCUGCUGACAGCCCCCACACUUCCUGAUUAAGUCUGGCUUCCCCAGGUGGCUGCUGCCCAGGACUCCCAGAUGCAGCUGUGGGUGGCAGGAAGCAACCAGUGUCCUGGCAUCACCCCAGACACAAACCUGGUCCCUGAUUUGACAGCAUCGCGUUGCCCUCCACCCACUGAUGUGGUUAGAGCCACACAUUGAGGGGCACAGAAAGCCCCCUCCUGCUGUGAGUUCUUUGCAUUUUGCCUUUCCCUCUUGGAAGCAGCCAGUCCCAGAGCUGUCCUGAUCUGUUUAGAACUACAGCUAUUCCACCCUGCGCCUGCCAAGUGUAGCUGUACUUCCUGUGGACUAGAUCUAAACAAACACAAAAAUUCAAAGUGCGACAAGUAUCAAUCUCCUAUCGAAUGCGAAAAGUAAAGGAAGCACCUCACCCUCAAGGGACUUGUAAUCUAGUUGAAGAGACGAGAUCCAAAUACGUGGGGAGUUCAGUAUCUGGGAACAGUGAACAUAUCAGUUUCGACUACAGAAGAAGAGAUGUCACAGGUCCCUUUGUGAUUAAUUAUCAAGUGAGUGGUUCUGACAGUGAUUGCUCCCCUUGUCUAGGGGAGAGAGGGCGUGCUUCAGGCUUUUGUGGUCAGGAACACUGGACUGGGGCAGGGGGCAGGGAUGGUGCUGAUGGGAUGGAGGCCUGGGUUUGAGUUGCUUCUUGAAGGCUGAAUGCAUCAGAGCCUAUAAAUAGAACUCAUGAUUCUUUUUGCUUUGGAAAACAUACAGACUAACCAUCCUUUCUAGAUUAGUGCCUGAUUCCAGUUUACUGCCCUCCCGUCAUCAGGGUGCUCAGAAAAUGUAAUUUGAUAAGUAAAAAUGCCUUUUAUGAGAACCUAUAAUGUGCCAAUUAUUGCACAGUGUACAUUACAAAAAUUAUUUCUGGUAUUUUUUAGCAACACUUAUUGGAUGGCCAUCCCCUACCCUAACCUACAAAUGAAUCAAAUGGGGCUCAGAGAAUGUAGGUAUCUUUCCUGAGGUCACACAUCCAGGUCAGGCAUGGCGAAGCUAGAAUUCAAGGCCUGUUCUUUCAUACCCCAAAGCCGAGGGGCUGAGAUUUGCAGAAGGGUCUGUAGCUGUUUUCCAAAGGGUUUCCCAUAUAGAUGCCAAAUUUCCCGCCUUCAAGCAGACCUCAUCUCUUGGAGCCUUCCUAACAUACUGCAUGGAUUGAGGACCCAGCUUUGAUAUUAUUUCUUGUCUUUUUUUUAGGAUAAGGGAAGAGAAGCCCAAACAAAUAGGGUUGCUGCAGAUUUCAGAAUUGAACUGAAGGUCUGAACCAGAGGAAAAUUUUCAGGAGGCAGGGAUCCCAGUGACUCAAAAGUCCCUUGAGAGAAAAUGGAUGCCCCCCUCCCCCGUUCAGCUUUUUAUUUAUUUAUUUAUUUUGACAGAGUCUCACAAGGCUGGAGUACAGUGGCACUAUCUUGGUUCACUGCAACAUCUGCCUUCCGGGUUCAAGUGAUUCUCCUGCCUCAACAUCCCGAGUAGCUGGAAUUACAGGUGCCCACCACCACACCCAGCUAAUUUUUGCAUUUUUAGUAUUUUUAGUAGAGGCAGGGUUUCACCAUAUUGGCCAGGCUGGUCUCAAACUCCUGACCUCAAGUGAUCUGCCCACCUCAGCCCCCCAAAGUGCUGGGAUUACAGGCAUAAGUCACCGAGCCUGGACCCUGUUCAUCCUUGACCCUCUCUCCUCUCCCUCUCUCUUGAAGAGCUGGACCCCUGCUCCUGGAAGAAGCUGAAACCUCACUCUGUGGAGUGGGGAGAGGCUGGCCCUUUAAGCCCCUACCCACCAGGCUCUCAGCAGUGGAGGAUGGAGCACGGUGAAGGAGCAUGCGGUGGGGCUGUGUCCACAGAGCAUGCUUCUGGCCUGUCAGUUUGGUGGAAUGGAGUGUAAAUCUCUCCUUUCCCUCUAUUUGCUUUCCUGACCCUAUAGAAAUGAGGUGAUUAACACCCACCUUCUCUUUUCUGUUUUCACGGAAUCUCUGAUCAACUUGGCACCUGUCUUAGUCUGUUUGGGCUGCUAUACCUUAGAUUGGGUGGUUUAUAAACAACAGAAAUUUAUUUCUCACAGUUCUGGAGGCCGGGAAGUUCAAGGUCAAGGCCCUGGCAGAUUUGGUGCCUCAUGAAGGUCUGCUUCCUGGUUGAGAGAUGGCUAUGUUCUCACUGAGUCCUCAUGUGGAGAAAAGAUGAUGGAACUCUCUGGGGCCUCUUUUCUAAGGGCACUAAUCCCAUUCAUGAGAGCUCUACCCUCAUGACCUCAGCACCUCCCAAAUGCCCCACCUCCUGCUACCAUCACACUGGAGGUUAGGAUUUCAACAUAGGAACGUUCAGUUCAUGACAGCACUCUUUGAAAACCCCUAGAAUUCAAGAUGAUAUGCAGGUUCCCCCUCAUGAAAAUAAAACCAAGAUGUUCUAGAACAAAAAAUAUAUAUGAAUAUAACAAAGAAAAACAUAAAUCAUACACUCCUCUGAAGAUAACUUUUGUGACAUUUGGGUAUCCUCUGGUUGUAAUAUUUCUUUUUAAUACAACUCUGAUGAAACUACAUAUGAUUUUGUAUCCUAUUUAUUCACUUAGCAUUUCCCCAAAUUAUUUAUAAAUUCUUUGUGAACAUCAUUUUAGUCACUAUAUAUCAUAUGGAAGUAUCAUAAUUUCUUUUUAUUUUAUUUCAUUUUUUGAGAUAGGGUCUCACUCUGUUGCCCAUGCUGGAGUGCAGUGGGGCAAACUCGGCUCACUAUAAUCUCCACCUCCUGGGCUCAAUCAUCCUCCCACCUCAGCCUCCUGAGUAGCUCAUGCUGGAGUGCAGUGGGGCAAACUCAGCUCAUUACAAUCUCCACCUCCUGGGCUCAAUCAUCCUCCUAUCUCAACCUCCUGAGUGACUGGGACUUACAGGCAUGUGCUACCAUGCCCGGCUGAUGCCCGGUUGAUUUUUUUUUUUUUUUUUUGUAGAGAUGGAGUUUUGCCAUGUUGGCCAGGCUGGUCUCGAACUCCUGGUCUUAAGCAAUCCACCCGCUUUGGCCUCCAAAAGUGCUGGGAUUAUAGGCAUGAGCCACUGUACAUGGCCUCAUAAUUUAUUUAACUUCUAUGUAACUAACCAUCUAAGUGGUUCUAGCUUUUUGCUACUAGCAGUCAUAUCACAAUUGAUAUAUUUGUGCAUAAAGAUUUUUGACAUUUUAGUUUAUAACGUUAGGAUGGAUUCCCAGAAGUGAAAUUAUGAGGCCAGGAGUAGGAACAUGUUUAAGGCUCUCAAUACAUUUUUCCAAAUUACUUUCCAAAAGGGUUAUAUUAAUUUAUACUUUAUUAGGAAUCUAUAAGAGUGUUAAACAUGUCACAGUCUUUCCAGCAAUCAAUAUACUCUUUUAAAAAUUAGUUUUUAACUACCUAAGUCUACUAUCCUUAUAAAACAAAGCAUAACAGAUCAGGCCAAGGUUAGCUUUGCCCAUAUCCUCAUUCUGUUCCACUCCUCUUCUCUCUGUACAUACGCGCUGCUAGCUGUCGCUUUCAGUUCUUCCAGGCUCUUCACUUUACCUUUACAUAUGUCAUCCAAUCUACUGUUUGAUUAUGUUCCCCUGUUGAUAUUUUUAAACGUGUGUUCUUUUUCUCCUUCUAGAACAGAAAUUGGCAGACUUUCUUCGUGAAGAGCCAGAGAGUAAGAAUUUUGGCUUUGUGGGCCAUGUCUACUGCAGUACAAAACUCUGCUGUUGUAAUGUAACAGCAGCCAUAGACAAUAUAUAAACAGUUGAAUGUGACCAUUUUCCACUAAAACUUUAUCUACAAAAAUAGCUGUCAGGCUAGAUUUUGCCAGCAGGCUAUAGUUUGCCGAUCCCUGUUCUAGACUGUAAAUUCCCUGGGGCAAGGGCCAAGUGGAUUCCCCAAGCCCCUGGACCAGGGUUAUGCACAGUUAUCCUUGGCAAUGACUACAGUAAGAGGGCUGGCAUGUUUCUUUCUUUCUUUUUUUUUUUUUUAAGAGAUGGGGUCUCACUAUAUUGCCCAGGCUGGUCUCAAACUCCUGGGCCCAAGCAAUCCUCCCACCUCAGCUGAGAUUACAGGUUUGAGCCAUCACACCCGGCCUGGCAUUUUCAAUACGAACUUGGGGCUUGGGAUGGAUAGAAAGGACAUGGAGACAUCAUUCUGCAUCACCUCCUCUGUGUUCUCUGCUCCUUGUCCUUCUAGUGGGAAAAGGGAGAGGACAAGGAAGGGACAUUCCAAAGUGACUUGAGUCCUUUGGGCCCUGGGAGUGGGAAAUUAAAGAGAUGCACUGUAACCUUUCUUCCCUACUCCCUUAGCUGAGCCCAAAUGCAAUUCUGCCUUUGGGCAAGGGUGUGUACCAGGCAGGGUAACAGUUGAGGGCAUCAAUAAUGCCACUAUAGGCAGAGGAAUGACAAAAACUAGCAUUUACCAAGCACUUACCAUGCACCGGAACACUGUAGCUUCCUAUAUAAUCCAUCUAAUAAUCAACCAAUAAUAGUAUUGCUGACUGUGAGGUCAGUACUGUGGUUACUGCAAGUAUAAAGAUGAGGACGUAGAAGAACAGAGAAAUUAAGUAACUCAUCCAAACUCUCCCGCCUGGUGAUUAGUGGAGCAAAGGAUGGCAUCUGGGCCCAGUGUUUCCACUCCUCCCCACCACUCUGAUUGCCUCUGUGGCAAACACUCUCAGUUGCCUUCCCGAUAUCCAUUAUUUUCUUCCUUAGUGUCAGGACCUUGGACAACAUGCCCAGGUGAUAAACUAGUUUCCAGUCUCCUUUGCCAUUAGAUAUAGUCAAUUAAGUGGAAACUCUUUGGCUGUUUCUCUUUUCUCCUGCUUGGAAUAUAAACAUGAUGACUGGAGCUCCAGCAGCCACUGUGAAGCCAUGGUGUGGAUGGAAGCCACGUGCUGAGGAUGGUGGAACAGAGGCAAAAAGGAUCCUGGGAGCUCUCAGAUCAGCUCUGGGCUGCCUUAUUCCGGACUCUUUCUUUUUUUUCUAUAACACAAGAGAGAAAUAAAUCUUUAUCCUGUUUAGGCCACAUCGAUCAGAUCUCUCUUACAGGAAGAUAAAUGUAAUUCCUAAGUGUUAAAACCUCGAAGAAGAAACCAGAGCUGCUCUUAUAACACACAAGAAAUUUGCAAAGAGGAAUCCAUCUGGCAGGAUCCAAACGCAUAUCUUAUUCCCCAUCCCUAAGUCCAGAGUCAUCAAAUGCAAUGGGACAAAAUGACUGAGAUAUGUCCCAAGGAGUGAACAGAAGUGGAACCCAAAGGGAGGGGAAUAAGUGGGCUGAAAGGAGAAGAAAAAGCUCUAAGGCAGGAGGGAAGGGUUUUUCUUACCAACUUUGAGAGGGGUGGCCACAUGUAGCCAAGAGCUGAGGCUGAAGGCCUUGUGUCCUUUGAGGAGAGGGACCUCAAAUUAUCUGUGGCUUCUGAACAGAUAAGACAAUACAAUGUGGACCUCAAACAAGUAACUGUUGUUUAUGGCCUGGAUCUACGUGGGUCGACCGACCAUCAGUCAGCCUGCGUGACAAGGACCUGCACUCUCCCUCCUUCCCACUGGCCAGUGCCCGAGUGAUGAGGCUACUCAUCAAGAGGCUAUGGUUUGGUGGAAAUGAAGCCAGCUGGCGGCCCAAUAUCCACGCACUUUCCCAGAGAGUGAGCCGCAUGCAAAGUCCAUCUGUCGCCAAAGCUGAGGGGGCUUAGGGUCAUUCAGUAAGGCCUGCCACUGAGAUUUGGUUCCGGAUCCAGCAAUCCUCUUUAAAAAGAACAGAUUUUCACCUGCCAUCCUCCCCACGUUCUAAUCUCCAGGAGGGGGAAAAACGUAGUCAAAGGAGAGAUUCUCUGAUUCGAGAGCCUCAGGAUUCCAGGCAGCAAAGAUAGAACUUUUCUCUCAAACUUAGGUUGUAGGGUUCUGCUGGGAGCUCUCUACUGAUAUUUGCAGUAAUUUGCAAAUGGCACAUUGGUGUCACAAGUGGGAAGCCUGGGGCUCAGGGACUCACGGGUCAAGGCGAUCCACGGCCAGGUGAGGGGGUGUGGUGAGGAGUAAACCUAUUCCGUGGGAGGACAAAGAUACAAAGGAAGGUCUCUUUCUGAACUGAAACAAAGAGGAGGAGAGUCCUUAUAAAUGCCUCUGGAAGAGGCCUGCGCCAUGCGGUUAACCUUGAAAGAAAGUCACUGACUGAGGUUUCACACUUCAUCCUUGUCCUGACAAGUCCAGCAUUUCCAAGUUUUCCCUCAGAUGACUCCCUAUCAAGACAAUCUGUAGAUUUUUUUUCCAGUCGGCAUAUUGGCUGCAAAGAUAAUGUAGGUAUUUUCAGUCAGCCCGGAGCAGGAGAGAUAAGAGGGGAGAGAGCCAGGUAGAACUUGAUUGAGUGACCAAGAUAAAUUUACUGUACCACAGGAAAUCGAAAUGCAAAAAUAAGGAUUGGGAGCAACUGAAAUAUUUAAAAAGAUAGAGAAGGGACUGGCGUUCUAAGGGAACAGCCUUACCCCUUCAUUGCCUGAACUCCUGAAUAUUGCAAAAGAGAAUAGGGUUGAAAAAGGACCAGAAUAGAAACUAGCCAUUAAGAGAGACAGAAUGAAGGGUUUGGCUUACAAAUGGGAUUAUAAUUAAGAAAGGAGGAGAAAUCAGAACGGUUUGGGGUUUGUCUUCUUGGCCUCUGGUCUCACCUAGGUGAUGCCUCAGACAGAAUGCUUCUCUAUAUUGUGGUUUCUGCCUCUAAGAAACCUUUCUCUUGCCCUACCUCCCUGGGGUGAGAACUGCUGCCUUCUUAGUCGGGAGGCAGUGGGGGUAUUGGUAAGAAGUCAGGCUUGGCUGCUGUAACCAAUAGACCCGAUAGUAAUUGAGUAGCUUAUGUAAGACAGAGUUUACUUCUUUGUUGUGUAGCAGUUUGAGGUGAGUGUUCCACAGAGUCCUGGAGGCACUCAAAUUCCUUCCAUCAGGCCUUGGUUUUGUCUAUAGGUUGAGGCUCAGCUGCUGUGGUUCCAGCCACUGGGAAAGGGAGAGAACGUAGAGAAGGCUCAGGCUUGGCAGUGGCACCCCUCAUUUCCGCUCACAUUUGUUUGAAGACAUCUUAGUUAUAUGGCCCCCACCUAACUGCAAGGGAAGUUGGGAAAUGUAGUUUCACCAUGUGCUCAGGAAGAAGGGAGAGCCAUCUUGGGGGACAAGCAGUGUUCAAGACCACGAAGAACUAGUGGAAGGAGGAACAGAAGAGGCUGAGGUGCUGGUAGGUAGCAGACUCUGAUGGCUUGAUAAAUAAGAGAGCCACCCCAUCCAUCAGGGGCCUGGAUGUCCUCCUGCUGGCGGGGACAUCACAGCCAGAGAGCUGACCAUGUUCCACUAUCAGUACAAGCGGACUCUGGCAGCAGAUGUGCUUCUCAGUGAAGGUGUGGCGACAUCUCUCCGCGUCUCCUUGCAAAUGAUCAGCUCCCACCUCCACCCUGGCACCAACCUGGGCUGCAGGAAGCUGAAAUGCAUGUUGCCCCUUAUCAUGAAUGGGAGCAUCAUCUUUGCAGAAAGUCUCCCUUCUUUAUCCUUGCAAAUUGAGAGUGCAAUCCAGGAUGGAAGGAGACCACAUUCAACCAUCAGCAUCAAGCGGGCGAAUGAGGCCUCCUGAAUUGAGCAUUGGGCUCAGGAGGGGCAUGAAGUUCCACAAAGCACAGACCACCCUUUGCAAUGAGCAGCAAGGAACAUUGCCCUGAGACAGACAUCCAUGAAGAAGCCUGGGAUGAAAGACCACAUGGAGAGAAAGGCCCACCAUCAUUCUGCACCAACUACCAACGGCGUAAGGGAGGUUGACUUGGAUCUCCCACCCCAGUUGACUCUCCAGCUGAAAGCAACUGCCUGAGCCCAAACAAAACCUGCUGAGGAACCUCCCUGCUAGCAAAUGGAAUCAGGAGAAAUAAUAAAUAGUUCUGUUGUUUUAAGUCACCAACUCACAAACGGAGUAUAAGAAAUAAUCAAUGGAUGUAGUUUUAAGUCUCUAUGUGUUGGGAUGGUUUGAUAUAACAAUAGGUAACUGAAACAGUAGAAGAUUAGAAAGAGGAAAAAUAAUCACCCAUAAUCCCAUCACAUAAAGAUGACUGCUCUUUUUUUUUUUUU